CUGGCUCAGGAUGAACGCUGGCGGCGUGCCUAACACAUGCAAGUCGAGCGAUUCUCUUCGGAGAAGAGCGGCGGACGGGUGAGUAACGCGUGGGUAACCUGCCCUGUACACACGGAUAACAUACCGAAAGGUAUGCUAAUACGGGAUAAUAUGUUUUGAUCGCAUGGUCGAAAUAUCAAAGCUCCGGCGGUACAGGAUGGACCCGCGUCUGAUUAGCUAGUUGGUGAGGUAAUGGCUCACCAAGGCGACGAUCAGUAGCCGACCUGAGAGGGUGAUCGGCCACAUUGGAACUGAGACACGGUCCAAACUCCUACGGGAGGCAGCAGUGGGGAAUAUUGCACAAUGGGCGAAAGCCUGAUGCCAGCAACGCCGCGUGAGCGAUGAAGGCCUUCGGGUCGUAAAGCUCUGUCCUCAAGGAAGAUAAUGACGGUACUUGAGGAGGAAGCCCCGGCUAACUACGUGCCAGCCGCCGC
rnacentral:rRNA from 1 species